GUCACUACUUUGGCUAUAUUGCACAAAUUUAUAAAAACAAACUUUUUGGGGGAUAGGCAUAAGGUUAGCAAUGUGGUUAGGUUUAAAAUCAAAUUUUAGGAAGAUAAAUUGUAGAAUAGGUGGGGCUAACUAUUUAAAAAAUAUAUAUAUUUAACCUUUAUUUACUGGUUUAGACAUACUUAUGACAGAUUGGUGGAGUGAAUGCAGCUCUAACGUUAGCCAUGGAGAACUGCAAAUGUGUUGCUACUGCUCUCAAUAACAUAGCUGACCUGAAUUGAUCAGGCGCCAUCGAAGCAUCAUUACAACACGCCUGACUCUCCUCCACUAGUCACACAAGGAGAAUGGUCUAAUGCCUCCCAUCAAAAAGAGAGCUGGACCAAGCACAGGUUACGCCUGAAGCAUGAGGACUUCCAGUGAGUGGUGAACUUCAUCAACAACAACGCAGAGGGUAAUGCAAUAGUAUUGCCAGGAUGCCACCCAGGACACAAACACUUUCGUGGAAAGCUGCUGCCAUCCCAUGUGACAAAAGCAGCAGUGUGGCGUCUCUACAAGGAAUCGAUGACAACACUUGAAACAGUCAGGACCUUCACUUCCUGAUCACAGGCCACACCAAGUUUGCCCCCGACUGGUGCUUCGGCCUCAUCAAGCAGCGCUUCAGAAAGACCAGUGAAUGAACACUUUGUCUGAGAUUGCUGGUGUUGUGAAUGACAGCGCUGACAGGGUCAACAUCCCACAGCUGGUUGGACUUGAGGGUGACACUGCGAUGGUGGAAAUCUAUGGCUGGCAACAAUGCCUGACUCCGUACUUCAGGCUACUGCCACAGAUCAAGCAGUACCAGCACUUAAAUAAUUUUCAUUGCAUUUUUUACAGCUUCGAUGCUCUGGAGACUGGUGUUGUUGGCGCCAAGGAGCGUUCGGACUGUCUGGACUAGGUUUCAGCUGCUGCGCAACACCUUCCUCCCAUAGAUGGUCUGCCUGUACAAGCACCACCUGGACUGGACACAGCUAGACAAACUUAUAUUUUUUAGGGACUUUUGCGACAGAGGCUAUGGACAUCAUAUGCCCUGCACCAAAGUCAAGGGCAGGACAGAAACAGGCUCUUCUAAUAUAGAUUCCCUUGUUCAUGCGUGGUUUGGACGGACCAGUCAUCAGCACUAUCUGCAGUGCCUCUAUUCAAAUGACUCUCGCCACACACGCCAUACGUUGCUGCUAUACCAUAUGUUUUAUCCUGCUGCUCAGCCACUUUACCCAUGAUGGUAUGCAUAUAACUACCUCAUCUAUCACUGAUAUCGUUAUUGAUAUUGUUCUUGUACAUAUUUUAUAUUAUUUUAUUUAUAUUGACACUAUCUAUCUCUGAUAUUGCUACUAUGCAAGUAACUAUGUGGCUGUACCUUUUCCACCUUCUGUAGAGACCAUCCACUUAGCAAGACUUAGAAAAAUAUUGAUAUAUAAAAUUCAUUUUGAUAUGUGUGGUCAUAACAUGAUUUUGUGACAUACCACAACAAUAUCAUGUGACUGUAUCAAGUGUCCACCUCAUAAAUAUAUGGCGCAUGCAUCUGUUUAUAUACUGUUCAUGUGCACCUCGCUCAGGUUUCAACUCCGGUUGCAUGGCCUUAACUUAUGUAUGUAAUACUGUGAUAGGUGCGUGUGUAACAGUAUAUAAAGUAUGCCAAUGUAUUGGUGUGAAGGCAGUGGUGUAAAAAUACUUUAAAGUACUAAAGUCUUUUUGGGGGUAUCUGUACAUUACUUCACUAUUUAUAUUUUUGGGAACUUUAACUUCACUACAUUCCGAAAGAAAAUAAUGUAUAUUUUACUCCAAACAUUUUCCCUGACACCCAAAAGUACUUGUUACAUUUUGACAGGAAAAUUGUCCAAUUCACACACUUAUCAAGAGAACAUCCCUGGUCAUCUCUACUGCUUCUGAUUUGGCAGACUCACUAAACACAAAUGUUUCAUUUAUAAAUUAUGUCUGAGUGUUGGAGUGUGCCCCUGGCUAUUUGUUUUACCUUUAUUGGGUAAAAUAAAAAAAUUGAGCCGUCUGGUUUAAUACAAGG